UACGGAGGGUGCGAGCGUUGUCCGGAAUCAUUGGGCGUAAAGGGCGUGUAGGUGGCGGGACAAGCGUGCGGUGAAAGCUCGGGGCUCAACCCCGAGUCGGCCGUGCGAACUGUUUUGCUUGAGCACUGUAGAGGCAGGCGGAAUUCCGGGUGUAGCGGUGGAAUGCGUAGAGAUCCGGAAGAACACCGGUGGCGAAGGCGGCCUGCUGGGCAGUAGCUGACACUGAGGCGCGACAGCGUGGGGAGCAAACAGG
rnacentral:rRNA from 1 species